CACGAUCCACUGAGAUUCAGCC
rnacentral:siRNA from 1 species